rnacentral:lncRNA from 1 species
GAAAGGAAGGGGAGGCACAGACUGCACACAUCUGUCAAACGGGACCUGGACCCAGGACAACCAUCAGGGCCCAGAGCAGCCAAAACCAGACAAAAUAAGACCCGGAAAUAAACUGAGAGCGAACAGUGCCCACUCGCCGCCCGGCAAUAGUCUGAUGUGUGGCUACUUAGAGGGAGGUGCUGUGGUGUCCUUGGCUUAUUUCAAUGUCGCUGCUGCUCUGAGAAUGGAUUUUCAAAUGCAUCUCGGACUCCGAAAACCCACAUGGGUUCAAGAAAAUUCGAAGACCUCAGGAUAUUUUGCAAUCCGUCAAAAGUAACUCUGUUUUUGCUUUAGAAGAAAAUGUCUAAUGGUGGGGAAACUGUAGGAAAGGCUCAGGGUUCUGCUGUGAGCCUUUAUGGCUGCUGGAAGCUUCCACCGACCCGGGGACUGUCAAAAGUUAGACAUCUUGCUUCACUCUUUUUUUCCCAGUGUAGAGUCCAGUGCUGAAGUCAUUAUGGGCACUGGCAUGGUGUGUGAGCAGCUGCUCUGGAGUCUUUCGUGAAAGAACUGAUGACCAUUCACAACAGUUAAAAUAAGUCACUCCUCUACGGAUAGAAACUGCAUCGGCUGACACCUGAUAAUUACACAUGUGCUAGACUCUGCCACGUCAACCCUAUAUUUUCAACAGUAAAAUCUGAUCAUACUUUCUUCAA